rnacentral:rRNA from 1 species
UUGGUGGCGACCGGCGCACGGGUGAGUAACGCGUAUGCAACCUCCUUUAUCAGAGGGGAAUAACCCGGCGAAAGUCGGACUAAUACCGCAUAAAACAGGGACACCGCAUGGUGAUAUUUGUUAAAGAAAUUCGCUGAUAGAUGGGCAUGCGUUCCAUUAGGUAGUUGGUGAGGUAACGGCUCACCAAGCCGACGAUGGAUAGGGGAACUGAGAGGUUGGUCCCCCACACUGGUACUGAGACACGGACCAGACUCCUACGGGAGGCAGCAGUGAGGAAUAUUGGUCAAUGGGCGAGAGCCUGAACCAGCCAAGUCGCGUGAAGGAAGAAGGAUCUAUGGUUCGUAAACUUCUUUUGCAGGGGAAUAAAGUGCAGGACGUGUCCUGUUUUGUAUGUACCCUGAGAAUAAGGAUCGGCUAACUCCGUGCCAGCAGCCGCGGUAAUACGGAGGAUCCGAGCGUUAUCCGGAUUUAUUGGGUUUAAAGGGUGCGUAGGUGGUUUGAUAAGUCAGCGGUGAAAGUUUGCAGCUUAACUGUAAAAAUGCCGUUGAAACUGUCGGACUUGAGUGUAAAUGAGGUAGGCGGAAUGCGUGGUGCAGCGGUGAAAUGCUUAGAUAUCACGAAGAACUCCGAUUG